rnacentral:rRNA from 1 species
UACGGGGGGGGCAAGCGUUGUUCGGAAUUACUGGGCGUAAAGGGCUCGUAGGUGGCCAACUAAGUCGGACGUGAAAUCCCUCGGCUUAACCGGGGAACUGCGUCCGAUACUGGUUGGCUUGAGUUUGGGAGAGGGAUGCGGAAUUCCAGGUGUAGCGGUGAAAUGCGUAGAUAUCUGGAGGAACACCGGUGGCGAAGGCGGCAUCCUGGACCGACACUGACGCUGAGGAGCGAAAGCCAGGGGAGCAAACGGGG